UACGAAGGGGGCUAGCGUUGUUCGGAAUUACUGGGCGUAAAGCGCGCGCAGGCGGUCCUUUAAGUCGGGGGUGAAAGCCCAGAGCUCAACUCUGGAACUGCCUUCGAAACUAGAGGACUUGGGUACGGGAGAGGUGAGUGGAAUUCCGAGUGUAGAGGUGAAAUUCGUAGAUAUUCGGAAGAACACCAGUGGCGAAGGCGACUCGCUGGACAAGUAUUGACGCUGAGGUGCGAAAGCGUGGGGAGCAAACAGG
rnacentral:rRNA from 1 species